rnacentral:rRNA from 1 species
ACUGGGUGAGAUUGCUGCUGGCUNCCGAGCAUNGUGCACAUCUCAUUCAUUUACCUCUCACCUCUGUGCACUUUUCACAGGACAACCGGUGGCUGUUGGCUUCAUUGCCUAUGGCUGCAAGUUGCUUUGUGUGCUUUAAAAACUCAAAAUCAAGUUCAGAAUGUUCAUUGUGUAUUUACACAUUUAAAUACAACUUUCAGCAACGGAUCUCUUGGCUCUCGCAUCGAUGAAGAACGCAGCGAAAUGCGAUAAGUAAUGUGAAUUGCAGAAUUCAGUGAAUCAUCGAAUCUUUGAACGCACCUUGCGCUCCUUGGUAUUCCGAGGAGCAUGCCUGUUUGAGUGUCAUGGUAUUCUCAAUUAUCUCAGUUUUUUCUGGGAUGAAUUGGAUUUGGAGGUUAUUUGCUGGCAUCCUUGUGAAACCGGCUCCUCUUAAAUGUAUCAGUGUGAAUGCUCACUUCAUACUCAGUGUGAUAAUUAUCUACGCUGUGCAUGAGUGAUACAACUUCAUGCUUCGAACCGUCGCAAGACAUCACUUUGACUUCUGACCUCAAAUCAGGUAGGAUUACCCGCCGAACUUAAGCAUAUCAAUAAGCGGAGGAAAAGAAACUAACCAGGAUUCCCCUAGUAACUGCGAGUGAAGCGGGAAAAGCUCAAAUUUAAAAUCUGGCGGUCUUUGGCCGUCCGAGUUGUAAUCUGGAGAAGUGCUUUCCGCUCUGGACCGUGUACAAGUCUCUUGGAAUAGAGCGUCAUAGAGGGUGAGAAUCCCGUCUUUGACACGGACUACCAGUGCUUUGUGAUGUGCUUUCAAAGAGUCGAGUUGUUUGGGAAUGCAGCUCAAAAUGGGUGGUAAAUUCCAUCUAAAGCUAAAUAUUGGCGAGAGACCGAUAGCGAACAAGUACCGUGAGGGAAAGAUGAAAAGCACUUUGGAAAGAGAGUUAAACAGUACGUGAAAUUGCUGAAAGGGAAACACUUGAAGUCAGUCGCGUUGUUCAGAACUCAGCCUGGCCUUGGCUUGGUGCAUUUUCUGAAUGACGGGCCAGCAUCAAUUUUGACUGUUGGAUAAAGGCCAGAGAAAUGUGGCUCCUUUGGGAGUGUUAUAGUCUUUGGUUGCAUGCAAUGGUUGGGAUUGAGGAACUCAGCAUGCCUUUAUGGUCGGGGUUCGCCCACGUUCAUGCUUAGGAUGCUGGCGUAAUGGCUUUAAAUGACCCGUCUUGAAACACGGACCAAGGAGUCUAACAUGCCUGCGAGUGUUUGGGUGGAAAACCCGAGCGCGCAAUGAAAGUGAAAGUUGGGAUCUCUGUCGUGGGGAGCACCGACGCCCGGACCAGACCUUCUGUGACGGAUCCGCGGUAGAGCAUGUAUGUUGGGACCCGAAAGAUGGUGAACUAUGCCUGAAUAGGGUGAAGCCAGAGGAAACUCUGGUGGAGGCUCGUAGCGAUUCUGACGUGCAAAUCGAUCGUCAAAUUUGGGUAUAGGGGCGAAAGACUAAUCGAACCAUCUAGUAGCUGGUUCCUGCCGAAGUUUCCCUCAGGAUAGCAGAAACUCGUAUCAGAUUUAUGUGGUAAAGCGAAUGAUUAGAGGCCUUGGGGUUGAAACAACCUUAACCUAUUCUCAAACUUUAAAUAUGUAAGAACGAGCCGUCACUUGAUUGGACCGCUCGGCGAUUGGGAGUUUCUAGUGGGCCAUUUUUGGUAAGCAGAACUGGCGAUGCGGGAUGAACCGAACGCGAGGUUAAGGUGCCGGAAUGCACGCUCAUCAGACACCACAAAAUGUGUUAGUUCAUCUAGACAGCAUGACGGUGGCCAUGGAAGUCGGAAUUCGCUAAUGAGUGUGUUACAACUCACCUGCCGAAUGAACUAGCCUGAAAAUGAUGGCGCUAAGCGUGCUAACAUACCUCGGCGUCAGUGUUGACCUGAUGCACUGACGAGUAUGCAGGCGUUGAG